rnacentral:tRNA from 1 species
GGGGCUGUAGCUCAUUGGUAGAGCACUUGCCUAGUAUAUGCAAGUGCUGCAUUCAAUCCCAGCACCA